ACACGCUUUGCCCGCCAUGUUUCCGGGAGACCUAGGAUGGGCGCUCCUGGUGGUUCUGGUGAGAACACACUCAACAAAAUUGUCAACAAAUUCUAUGAUGAUCCUUCUGUGUGUGCUCAGUGUACCACAAGGCAUUUUCAGAAGACAUGAAAGAAAAAAAAUGUAAUAUGUAAAUGAAGGCAGAGUUACUAUAGCCUGAUUGGAAGUAUUAAAACCACAACUUUAUGGAACAUAUAGCUGCAAACAGUUCCACACAAAAGCACACAAAGGGGGAAUAAACUACAGAAAUCUGGUGUUAUUCUUAAUGCAUUUUUCCACGAGCUGGUAAGAUGUCACUGGACCAACCAAUAACCGUGCGUAAAGCCUGCCUCUCCUCAGACAGAAGAGGAGCCUUAAAGCCCAGAUUUACAAUAGCUCAAGCAAAAGAAAGAAAGAGGCAUCCAUCUGACAGAGAAUGUCUAAGAAGCAAACAGAGCCAUAAUGCUGGUGUCACUUCUCAAUAUCAAAAAAUUAAAAAAAAAUUUUUUUAA